rnacentral:rRNA from 1 species
GUGGGGAAUAUUGGACAAUGGGCGAAAGCCUGACGCAGCCAUGCCGCGUGAAUGAUGAAGGUCUUAGGAUUGUAAAGCUCUUUCAGUGGGGACGAUAAUGACGGUACCCACAGAAGAAGCCCCGGCUAACUUCGUGCCAGCAGCCGCGGUAAUACGAAGGGGGCUAGCGUUGUUCGGAUUUACUGGGCGUAAAGCGCACGUAGGCGGAUCGUUAAGUCGGGGGUGAAAUCCUGGAGCUCAACUCCAGAACUGCCUUCGAUACUGGCGAUCUUGAGUCCGGAAGAGGUGAGUGGAACUCCUAGUGUAGAGGUGGAAUUCGUAGAUAUUAGGAAGAACACCAGUGGCGAAGGCGGCUCACUGGUCCGGUACUGACGCUGAGGUGCGAAAGCGUGGGGAGCAAACAGGAUUAGAAACCCGGGUAGUCC